GACAUAGGUGGCGAACGUUAUCCGGAAUUAUUGGGCGUAAAGGAUGCGUAGAUGGUAGAAUAAGUUACUGGACGAUGCCAAACUCAAUUUGACGGAAGCUGGUAAUACUGUUCUGCUAGAGGGCAGGAGAGGUUGAUGGAAUUCUGUGUGGAGCGGUGAAAUGCGUAGAUAUCUGCAGGAACACCCGUGGCGAAAGCGGCGCGCUGGACCACUACUGACGCUGAGGAACGAAAGCUAGGGGAGCAAACAGG
rnacentral:rRNA from 1 species